rnacentral:rRNA from 1 species
GACGAACGCUGGCGGCGUGCCUAAUACAUGCAAGUUGAGCGCUGAAGGUUGGUACUUGUACCAACUGGAUGAGCAGCGAACGGGUGAGUAACGCGUGGGGAAUCUGCCUUUGAGCGGGGGACAGCAUUUGGAAACGAAUGCUAAUACCGCAUAAAAACUUUAAACACAAGUUUUAAGUUUGAAAGAUGCAAUUGCAUCACUCAAAGAUGAUCCCGCGUUGUAUUAGCUAGUUGGUGAGGUAAAGGCUCACCAAGGCGAUGAUACAUAGCCGACCUGAGAGGGUGAUCGGCCACAUUGGGAAUGAGACACGGCCCAAACUCCUACGGGAGGUAGCAGUAGGGAAUCUUCGGCAAUGGACGAAAGUCUGACCGAGCAACGCCGCGUGAGUGAAGAAGGUUUUCGGAUCGUAAAACUCUGUUGGUAGAGAAGAACGUUGGUGAGAGUGGAAAGCUCAUCAAGUGACGGUAACUACCCAGAAAGGGACGGCUAACUACGUGCCAGCCGCCGCCGUAACAC